rnacentral:rRNA from 1 species
AUGCACGCUGGCGGCGUGCCAAAUACAUGCAAGUCGAGCGAACAGACGAGGAGCUUGCUCCUCUGACGUUAGCGGCGGACGGGUGAGUAACACGUGGAUAACCUACCUAUAAGACUGGGAUAACUUCGGGAAACCGGAGCUAAUACCGGAUAAUAUAUUGAACCGCAUGGUUCAAUAGUGAAAGACGGUUUUGCUGUCACUUAUAGAUGGAUCCGCGCCGCAUUAGCUAGUUGGUAAGGUAACGGCUUACCAAGGCAACGAUGCGUAGCCGACCUGAGAGGGUGAUCGGCCACACUGGAACUGAGACACGGUCCAGACUCCUACGGGAGGCAGCAGUAGGGAAUCUUCCGCAAUGGGCGAAAGCCUGACGGAGCAACGCCGCGUGAGUGAUGAAGGUCUUCGGAUCGUAAAACUCUGUUAUUAGGGAAGAACAAAUGUGUAAGUAACUAUGCACGUCUUGACGGUACCUAAUCAGAAAGCCACGGCUAACUACGUG